rnacentral:rRNA from 1 species
UACGUAGGUGGCAAGCGUUGUCCGGAUUUACUGGGCGUAAAGAGCGCGCAGGCGGUCGAUCAAGUCGAGUGUGAAAGCCCCCGGCUCAACUGGGGAGGGUCAUUCGAUACUGAUCGACUCGAAGGCAGGAGAGGGUAGUGGAAUUCCCGGUGUAGUGGUGAAAUGCGUAGAGAUCGGGAAGAACACCAGUGGCGAAGGCGACGUGCUGGGUUACCCCUGACGCUGAGAUGCGAAAAGUGUGGGGAGCAAACGGGG